GAUGAGAACGCAGCGAAAUGCGAUAAGUAAUGUGAAUUGCAGAAUUCAGUGAAUCAUCGAAUCUUUGAACGCACCUUGCGCUCUUUGGUAUUCCGAAGAGCAUGCCUGUUUGAGUGUCAUGAAAAUAUCAACCUUGACUUGGGUUUUGUGCUCUAGUCUCGGCUUGGAAUUGGGUGCUUGCCGCUUUUACGAGCGGCUCACCUUAAAUGUAUUAGCUGGAUCUGUCUUUGAGACUUGGUUUGACUUGGCGUAAUAAGUAUUUCGCUAAGGACAUUCUUCGGAGUGGCCUCGUUUCUAGGACGCUUGUCCGCUUUCCAAUACAAGUUCCACCUCGUGGACAUGACUUUUUAUUAUCUGGCCUCAAAUCAGGUAGGACUACCCGCUGAACUUAAGCAUAUCAAUAAGCGGAGGA
rnacentral:misc_RNA from 1 species